CCUACGGGAGGCAGCAGUGGGGAAUAUUGCACAAUGGGCGCAAGCCUGAUGCAGCCAUGCCGCGUGUGUGAAGAAGGCCUUCGGGUCGUAAAGCACUUUCAGCGGGGAGGAAGGCGGUGAGGUUAAUAACCUCAUCGAUUGACGUUACCCGCAGAAGAAGCACCGGCUAACUCCGUGCCAGCAGCCGCGGUAAUACGGAGGGUGCAAGCGUUAAUCGGAAUUACUGGGCGUAAAGCGCACGCAGGCGGUCUGUCAAGUCGGAUGUGAAAUCCCCGGGCUCAACCUGGGAACUGCAUUCGAAACUGGCAGGCUAGAGUCUUGUAGAGGGGGGUAGAAUUCCAGGUGUAGCGGUGAAAUGCGUAGAGAUCUGGAGGAAUACCGGUGGCGAAGGCGGCCCCCUGGACAAAGACUGACGCUCAGGUGCGAAAGCGUGGGGAGCAAACAGGAUUAGAUACCCGUGUAGUC
rnacentral:rRNA from 1 species